rnacentral:misc_RNA from 1 species
UCUCCGUUGGUGAACCAGCGGAGGGAUCAUUACCGCGUUUUCACAACUCCAAACCCUUGCGAACCGUACCCUUUCUGUUCUCGUUGCAUCCGGCGGGUACGACGUGAGGGCCCGACAGGGCCUCCCCGCCCCGCCCGCCCGGGUCGGCGGGCCGGACGAACCUUUAUAUUUCUACCUCCAGAAACCGUCUGCGUAACCCGCCAAAAUAAUCAAAACUUUCAACAACGGAUCUCAUCGCUAUCGCAUCUGUGAAAAACGCAGCAGUUCGUUAGAGCACAC